rnacentral:rRNA from 1 species
GAUGAACGCUGGCGGCGUGCCUAAUACAUGCAAGUCGAGCGAACGGACGAGAAGCUUGCUUCUCUGAUGUUAGCGGCGGACGGGUGAGUAACACGUGGAUAACCUACCUAUAAGACUGGGAUAACUUCGGGAAACCGUAGCUAAUACCGGAUAAUAUUUUGAACCGCAUGGUUCAAAAGUGAAAGACGGUCUUGCUGUCACUUAUAGAUGGAUCCGCGCUGCAUUAGCUAGUUGGUAAGGUAACGGCUUACCAAGGCGACGAUGCGUAGCCGACCUGAGAGGGUGAUCGGCCACACUGGAACUGAGACACGGUCCAGACUCCUACGGGAGGCAGCAGUAGGGAAUCUUCCGCAAUGGGCGAAAGCCUGACGGAGCAACGCCGCGUGAGUGAUGAAGGUCUUCGGAUCGUAAAACUCUGUUAUUAGGGAAGAACAAAUGUGUAAGUAACUAUGCACGUCUUGACGGUACCUAAUCAGAAAGCCACGGCUAACUACGUG